CCUUCGGCAUCAAUAUUAGUGCCCUACAUCUACCCUGUAGAUCCGAAUUUGUUUGAAGUGAGGCGACAAAUUCGGUUCUAGAGAGGUUUGUGUGGUGCAUGCACGGCAACAAGCAACACA
rnacentral:precursor_RNA from 12 species